AUUGAACGCUGGCGGCAUGCCUUACACAUGCAAGUCGAACGGCAGCACGGGUGCUUGCACCUGGUGGCGAGUGGCGAACGGGUGAGUAAUACAUCGGAACAUGUCCUGUAGUGGGGGAUAGCCCGGCGAAAGCCGGAUUAAUACCGCAUACGAUCUACGGAUGAAAGCGGGGGACCUUCGGGCCUCGCGCUAUAGGGUUGGCCGAUGGCUGAUUAGCUAGUUGGUGGGGUAAAGGCCUACCAAGGCGACGAUCAGUAGCUGGUCUGAGAGGACGACCAGCCACACUGGGACUGAGACACGGCCCAGACUCCUACGGGAGGCAGCAGUGGGGAAUUUUGGACAAUGGGCGAAAGCCUGAUCCAGCAAUGCCGCGUGUGUGAAGAAGGCCUUCGGGUUGUAAAGCACUUUUGGCCGGAAAGAAAUCCUUGGCCCUAAUACGGUCGGGGGAUGACGGUACCGGAAGAAUAAGCACCGGCUAACUACGUG
rnacentral:rRNA from 1 species